rnacentral:lncRNA from 1 species
GGGGGCUACCGGCUAAGACGAAGCCGAUUCAGAUUGGAGCAAAUCGAACAUCGAUUUGAUUCUGUCGUACCGCGUAAGCAGCCAAGAUGGCGAUCCCCGAUUCGUGACGUCACAUGAAGUUCGGCAAGCCGAUUGAACGAAUGAUUUCAGUACUUUUGACACUAAAAUCGCUACCGCGUAAAAAAUCGAAGUUCGGCGUCUGAAGCCGAUUCCCAUUGGAAGUGUCAGUUGAAGCCGGGCACUUUUCAGUAACCGUGAUCAAUUUUAAUUUCUUAUUUUCACUGUUUUUCACCAAUAUUAGGAGCUAUUUACGGUGGGCGACAAAUUUUAGGAACAUCUUAAUCAAUAUAAAAUUGAUAUCGGCGUGGAUUUUCGUGUUUAAAUACCUAAAUACAGUGUCAUGGAGAUAGUUGUUUUAUGGGCUGCUGCGGAAGAAAAUGUCUUCAGAAUCUUGAGCAAAUCGAUUGCAGGAUACUUCGAGAGAAAAGCCGGUAUAUACUUCUCACAGAGAGUAGCUACAUUGGUAAUUUUAGAUUAUCAAAAGAUGCAUAUCGGACUUUGUAUCAUGACUUAGGACCAUAUCUGAAGGUCCAAUGCUCUACAACUGUGCAAUCGACUUUAAGUGACAAAUGCCCUCAAUCAGCCUGCAAUCGUGAGAUAAUAUAUCAAGUUUCCUCGGACAAAAACUGAGCAUAUAGAAGUCUCCAGAGGUUUUAAUGACAAAUUUGGAUUUCUUGGAGUACUUGGAUGCAUCCAUGGCACACAAAUUGCCAUUAUCCAACCUCACAAGUGGGAAGAGGCCUUCUUCAAUAGCAAGUAUUACCAUUCAUUGCAUGUUAUGUUGGUUUGUGAUGGAGAUAUGAGCAUUACAUUUAUGAUGCAUCCAAUGGGAGUGUUAGUGCUAGACUACUAGCCAAGAUAACCAUAUUUGGAACAACAGCACUUUGAGAAGGGAAAAGGAACAUCUCCUUAAUUUUAAUAUGUUUAAGUUCAUUAAGCGGACUUGUGUGGUCCUUGAAAUGUAAAUUAUGAAGUCAGUGUGGUGUAAUCAAAAGUGGCAGAUUUGUUAUUCAAUAAUACAACAUCUAAACAAACCUUUCUUUAUUGACAUCAAAUAAACUAUUUUCAUUAUGCAUAUUUAUUUAUUUUGUGUUAUUACAUAAUUUGUUUCAUUACACCCCUCUCAUUAACCAACCUAUCUCUCAAGUAGAUACAUUUUUUCUAAUCUUGUGUCCAUUGUGCUUAAUAAAGUAGUUUAUCCAUCUAUCUUUAACUUGUAAUAAAUAAAUCCAUUUAUUUUGUAUAAAUACAAGCUUGCGGGGCCUUAUUGGACUAGACUAUUUGUAAUGUGUAAUAGUAUAGUCAAAAAAGCCCUGCGAGUGGAUCAAAGAAAUGUAAUCAAUUAGAACAUACUACAAAUAUAAUAUUGUUCCCAAUUCUUACUAUAAUAUGGAAAUAUAAGUUAAUUGCAUCCAACAUCUUCAUCAAUACACCUAUACAAAUCCUUUUAUUAGAUAGUAGUUGGCAAGGAGUGGGUGUAUACAUAUACU